CCAAAUGCACUUCACACUGAAUAAUCAAGUGGCUCAACCCAGCAGUUGGGUGGGGGGUGGGCUCCGUCAAGAGCACCGUAUUGUCU
ensembl:ncRNA C44C11.5 ncRNA